rnacentral:rRNA from 1 species
GAUGAACGCUGGCGGCGUGCCUAAUACAUGCAAGUCGAGCGAAUGGAUUAAGAGCUUGCUCUUAUGAAGUUAGCGGCGGACGGGUGAGUAACACGUGGGUAACCUGCCCAUAAGACUGGGAUAACUCCGGGAAACCGGGGCUAAUACCGGAUAACAUUUUGAACCGCAUGGUGCGAAAUUGAAAGGCGGCUUCGGCUGUCACUUAUGGAUGGACCCGGGUCGCAUUAGCUAGUUGGUGAGGUAACGGCUCACCAAGGCAACGAUGCGUAGCCGACCUGGUAGGGUGAUCGGCCACGCUGGUACUGGAACACGGCCCAGACUCCUACGGGAGGCAGCGGUAGGGAAUCUUCCGCAAUGGAAGAAAGUCUGACGGAGCAACGCCGCGUGAGUGAUGAAGGCUUUCGGGUCGUAAAACUCUGUUGUUAGGGAAGAACAAGUGCUAGUUGAAUAAGCUGGCACCUUGACGGUACCUAACCAGAAAGCCACGGCUAACUACGUGCCAGCCGCCGCGGUAA